rnacentral:rRNA from 1 species
UAAUACGGGGGGAGCGAGCGUUGUCCGGAAUCAUUGGGCGUAAAGGGCGCGUAGGCGGAAAGGUCAGUCAGAUGUGAAAGGCCCCGGCUUAACCGGGGAGUUGCAUUUGAAACUGUUUUUCUUGAGUGUCGUAGGGGAUGAUGGAAUUCCUGGUGUAGCGGUGAAAUGCGUAGAGAUCAGGAAGAACACCGGUGGCGAAGGCGGUCAUCUGGGCGAACACUGACACUGAGGCGCGAAAGCGUGGGUAGCAAACAGGAUUAGAUACCCUGGUAGUCCACGCCGUAAACGGUGGGCACUAGACGUUGGUUCCGUACGGGAUCAGUGUCGCAGCAAACGCAUUAAGUGCCCCGCCUGGGGAGUACGAUCGCAAGGUUG